rnacentral:lncRNA from 1 species
GAUUGUGGUUGUAGAUCGUAUCAUGGUUUGACCUGCCGAAAAUGGGCCUGAUCAAAUUGUCGUAUCUGUAUCUGAUCUGGUCAUUCUACUUGGGUAGUUGAAAAUCUGUAUAUGCCUUCAGAGAUAAAAGUUGUGAUGACUUCGCGAAGCAUGACACGAAAAUCUGAGCAUUUUAUGAUUUAUUUGAUUUUCUCUAUUAUCUG